UGGAAGAGGUUUCUACGAGAGUAUCUACCAACUCUCAUGCGUAGGAGCAAGUGGCGUACACAGGGGAGACAACUCCAGAUAGGAGAUAUUGUUCUGCUCAUGGACAACAAUGCACCAAGAGGAAAAUGGGACUUGGCAAGAAUCGUUGAUUUAUUUCCAGGAAAGGAUGGUAUAAUCAGAAAUGUCAGAGUUCGCACCAAGAACGGUGAAUACAACAGAUCAGUACAGAAAUGCUGUCUGAUCCUGGAAUAUUUCACAUAGACUGUUUUCAGAUGGCACUUGGUUGCCCCCGGAGGAUUUGGUUGAUAUGACAUUUGAAUCUGAAAUAACAUAAUUAAUUUCAUUUAUGCCAAGAAAGACAUAUUUUAGUUUGCCGGUUUGAUCAAGCCGUUUUGGUAUAUGUACUGUGCUCCAAAAUAAUGAUAACUCCCUGUUGUGUAUUGCGAGCUCCAGCGAUGAGCGUGAGUGACCCGCGAUGGUCAAAUGUGUGAGAAUUUCUGUGUGUUGCAGAGAGUUAGCGGCUGAGCACUAAUCUUCAGAACAUAUUUAAUGUUACGAAGGACUCAGCCAAUAAAGAGUGGUGAACACUA